CCACUAUCUCCCUGUCAGCUCUCUGCCUAUGAUCUACCUACAUCACUAGUAACUCUUGCUUGCCACGAAGUACUUUGCUAUCCACAAAGCACCUCUCUACCAAUAACCCAUCUUGCUAUCUGCUAUCUAUUCACUACCUGUAUCACCAUCAGCUAUCUAUCUCGCUAUCAACAACCCUUCUAUCAACUAUCUACGUCACUACCAGCUACCUUGCUGCCCGCUAUCUGUACAACGACCGUAUCCGGCAGGCGGGGCUGCCGGGGGUCGCCAAGGAAGCCAGGGACCGCAGCCAGCACUGGCACCGCCAGCACGGGCAGCGCCUGCCAGGGCCGGGAAGGGCAGCGCAGGGCAGCGCAGGGAGCCCGCAGGGCGGCACGGGCGGCACCGGGGCGGAAGGACGGCACGCGGCAGCGGCGGCGGGCACGGCGCGAGAUCGGGGACCGCGGGUGGCGCGGCGAGAACAGCGCGCAGACGGGCGCGGGGCGGGCGAGGCGGCGGCGGCCGGGGCUCUGCUGCGCGGCCCGAUUCUGCUUCGGGCAUCGCCGCCAGAGUCGGCGGGACGGGAGAAGAGGAGCCGCCACGAACGCGGAGAGCGGAGUCGGUCGGCACGGGGUCGACGGGGAGAACGAGGAGGAGAAGCAGGACCGCGCACGGCGGCACAGGGAGCCCUCGGCUCCUCCGCUGCUCGGGCUCCUCUCCCGGCUCGCUCCUCGCUGCCAGGAGAACCUUCCGGGCGCCGGGCCGCCUACAGACACGGCCGUAUCUCGCCGUGCGCGGAAGGCGCGUCCUCUUCUCCCCGACGCUCGCCACCCGGCUCGGGGCUUUCCCGGAGCUCGGAGCUCCGCCGGGGCUCCCCGCAGUCCCGCGCCGUUUGCCGGACGCGGCGAAGGGCCGACCGCACCCUGGGGCGCAUCGGGCCCAGCGCUGCCCAGGAAAGGACUGUCCCGCUCCGCUCUGCUGCGCCCGCUGCAGCCCUCAGAACGUCCGGCCCCGCUUCCUGACGUGGCUGCGUUCUCCUUGGGAUCCGUGCCCGGCAGUGCCCACAGCCUGCCCUGCUGCGCUGUGAGAAGCCUCAAGCAUAACUGUAUGGGAAAUGCUGAGUCCCAGCCUGAACCACUGAUGGAGCACCUGGGGAAAGGACUGGGUGAGCCCUGGGAGCACAGGUGA
rnacentral:lncRNA from 1 species